AUGGUUCUGUUGCAUGUACUAUUUCAAGCAUGGGGUCUACUUCACCCUGUUAGCACUGAAGGACGUAGAGGAGAUCAGCCUGGUGGUGCUGCAGGUAGAGGAGUGUGUGCUUAACCUUGGCAAAUUCCACAAUGUCGUUCGUCUGGUGGCCUUUUGUCCCUUUUCUUCAUUCCAAGAUUGCCUUGGAAAGUGCCAAUGCCGUGUCUGAAGGUGUUGUUCAAGAGGACCUCCGCCUGCUCCUCGAAACAUCCCUGCCAUCUAAAAAGAAGAAAGUACUUCUGAGGGUUGGAGACCCCAAGAUUGGUGCUGCAAUACAGGAAGAGUUGGGGUACAACUGCCAAAAUGGUGGUGUGAUAGCUGAGAUCCUUCGAGGAGUUCAUCUGGUGAAGGGUCUGACAGAUCUUUCUGCUUGUAAGGCCCAUCUAGGGCUGGGACGCAGCUAGUCUCAUGCCAAAGUUAAAUUUAAUGUGAACCGGGUGGACAACAUGAUCAUUCAGUCCUUUCAGUCCACAAGCCUCCUGGAUCAACUGGAUAAAGAUAUCAAUGCCUUCUCCAUGCGUGUCAGGGAGUGGUAUGGGUACCGUUUUCCAGAGCUGGUGAAGAUCAUCAGUGACCAUGCUACAUACUGUCGCCUGGCUCAGUUCAUUGGGCACGGCAGGGAGCUGAAUGGAACAAAGUUAGAGAAACUUAAACUGAAAGAAAUUACGAUGGAUGGGGCCAAGGCUGAGGCCAUUUUGGAUGCCUCUUGGUCCUCUAUGGGCGUGGACCUAUCCGCUAUCGACUUUAUAAACCUCAAGAGCUUCUCCAGUCAUGUGGCGACUUUGUCAGGGUAUCGCCAGAGCCUACAUACUUCCCUUCACUCCAAGAUGAGUCAAGUAGUCCGCAGCCUGUCAGCCUUAAUUGUGGAAGCAGUAGGUGCACGCCUCACUGAUGAUGCUGGCAGCCUCAGCCAUCUGGCCAAGGAUCGAGCAUCCACAGUACAGAUCCUUGGGCCUUAAAAGGCCUACUUAAAAGCCCUGAAGACAAGGGAUCACACACCAAAACAUGGACUCAUUUUUCUUUCCACCUUCAUCGUCUGAGCAGCUGCAAAGAACAAAGGCCGCAUCUCCCGAUACCUAGCAAACAAAUGCAGUAUUGCCUCGGGAAUUGAUUGCUUCUCUGAGGUUCCCACAAGUGUGUUUGGGGAAAAAAAAUCCCUGAACAAACUCCCUGAACUCGGCUGUCUUUUUACGAGACUGGAGAGAUUCCACGGAAGAACCUGGAUAUCUUAAAGAAAGCCAUGGUUCAAGCAGAGGCAGCGGCUGCUGAAAUCACCAGAAAUCAGGGAAAACAGGAAAAGAAAAGCUUGAAGAAGAAAAGAAGCGACAGGCGGCACUGGCCCUGGCAUCUUCAGUAGUACUCCAGAGGAGUGUGAGGAGGUACAGGAAAAACCUAAGAAAAAGAAUAAGCUAAAACAACCCAGGAGACCCUACAGGAAAAUGGAAUAGAAGACCCACCUGUCUCUUUGCCUAAAACCAAGAAAAAGAAAGCUCUUCCUAAGGAGGAGUUGGCAAGUGAUCUUGUAGAGCCGGCCACAUGCAGUAUGAGUGCUCCUAAGAGAAAUAAAUCCUCACCUAAGGAGGAAGUGGCCAGUGAACCAGUCGAGGCAGCAAGCCCCACCACCCCUAAGAAGAAAAAGAAAUUUUCUAAGGAGGAGCCUGAGGCUGCUGCUAGCUGCUCAAAGAGCGGCACAAAGAAAAAGAGAAAGUCCCAGAAAGAGCAGGAGGAUCAACACGGACCUGCUUGGUGUAAACAAGUUAACACCUGCUCCACCUCAGCAGGAGAAGGGAAGAAAUGGAAUCCCAGGAGAGGGUGUGGCAAUGGUGCCUCCUCCCUCCUCAUGAGUGCUAUGGCACCACUCCACUUGCUCUCUGCUGUUCUGCUUAUUGGCUCUGAUGAAAGUGCCAAACAUUCUUCAAGUUACCACAGCAAUCUCAGCUCCAUAGUGUCUACAAAAAUAUCAUUUUAUUACAGUGGUGGUUAA